rnacentral:rRNA from 1 species
AGUAACCUGCCCUUGACUUUGGGAUAACUUCAGGAAACUGGGGCUAAUACCGGAUAGGAGCUCCUGCUGCAUGGUGGGGUUGGAAAGUUUCGGCGGUUGGGGAUGGACUCGCGGCUUAUCAGCUUGUUGGUGGGGUAGUGGCUUACCAAGGCUUUGACGGGUAGCCGGCCUGAGAGGGCGACCGGCCACAUUGGGACUGAGAUACGGCCCAG